rnacentral:rRNA from 1 species
AAUGAACGCUGGCGGCAGGCUUAACACAUGCAAGUCGAACGCCCCGCAAGGGGAGUGGCAGACGGGUGAGUAACGCGUGGGGAUCUACCUAGUUCUACGGAACAACUGAGGGAAACUUCAGCUAAUACCGUAUACGCCCUACGGGGGAAAGAUUUAUCGGAAUUAGAUGAGCCCGCGUAAGAUUAGCUAGUUGGUGGGGUAAUGGCCUACCAAGGCGACGAUCUUUAGCUGGUCUGAGAGGAUGAUCAGCCACACUGGGACUGAGACACGGCCCAGACUCCUACGGGAGGCAGCAGUGGGGAAUAUUGGACAAUGGGCGCAAGCCUGAUCCAGCCAUGCCGCGUGAGUGAUGAAGGCCUUAGGGUUGUAAAGCUCUUUCAGUGGGGAAGAUAAUGACGGUACCCACAGAAGAAGCCCCGGCUAACUUCGUGCCAGCCGCCGCGGUAAGAC